AACUUUCGUCCUUUAAAACUAGUACGUUUAAUCGUAGAAAACAGAGGCAAGCAGGACAGACGAUCAAUCCCUCUUCUAGUAAUGACACCCCUUUAUUAGGUCGGAACCCAUUCCCAUUGACUUCCUACAUACAGGUAUUGUGAGAUGCAAAGGAAGACGGAUACCUUUUGACUUAUAGACGACUAGUAGCGCAAAGCAAUUCCACUGUUGAGAGGAAGAUCCUUGGCCCCUCUUCAUUUCUCUACAGGGUUCCAAACCUUU
rnacentral:lncRNA from 1 species